AUUGAACGCUCGCGGCAGGCUUAACACAUGCAAGUCGAACGAGUGGCGGACGGGUGAGUACUGCUUGGGAAUCUAGCUUAUGGAGGGGGAUAACUACUGGAAACUGUAGCUAAUACCGCGUACCAUCGGCUGAGCCCAAGGGGGAUUAGGUAGUUGGUGAGGUAAAGGCUCACCAAGCCGACGAUCGCUAGCUGGUCUGAGAGGAUGACCAGCAACAUUGGCAAUGAGACACGGCCCAGACCCCUAAGGGAGGAAGCCGUGGGGAAUAUUGCGCAAUGGGGGCAACCUGACGCAGCCAUGCCGCGUGAAUGAAGAAGUCCUUCGGGUUGUAAAGUUCUUUCAGCAGGGAGGCGUUAACUACAGAAGAAGCACCGGCUAACUCAGUGCCAGCAGCGGCGGUAAUUC
rnacentral:rRNA from 1 species